UCCCUAGUAUGCUCAGACAGUAAAGCAUCUGCCUGCAAUGCAGAAGACCUGGGUUUGAUCCCUAGGUUGGGAA
rfam:Ovis aries breed Texel chromosome 6, whole genome shotgun sequence.